rnacentral:rRNA from 1 species
UUUGACAAAAUCACAAUGAAUGUGCCUGAUCUUGUCAGACCUCAGACGUUAAGGAGGGUUGAGCCUGGUUAUUAAAUGGAUGGAGGGCUGCCUGGAAAUAGCAGGUAGCAUAU